GUCACUUGAGUGGUGAAACGUCAAAUAUGGAUGCACAACGCUAAUUUGACAGAACAACAAGAGCACUACUUCCUAUUAUGUGAUACUUUGCCAGAGUACAGGAUCCUUGGGGAACAUCUACAACAGAUGUGACUGGUGAGCAUCUAUAAAAAGACAAGGACCUGUGUCUUUCAUGCAUGUUAGGUCUUUACUGCUUAACCACAAGUCUAAAGAACAUUCCUUCAGUAUCGGCCUGCCUGAUAACAUUGUCUACGCACAGAGUUCCUCGACACUCUUGAGAGAAAACUGGAGAAGUGUUGGGGUAGACAUAGGAAGAGGUGCAGUCUGAAGACGAUGGAGCUGUUUGAAAAUGAAGAUGAGAAACUCAUGAAUUUGACCUGCAAACAUUUAAAACAGACCUAAUUAUAUCUGCCGUGAGGUCCACCAGUGCCGCUGCUACUGCUAUCAGGAGAAGUUUGGAUCCAAAGAUGAGCUGGUUCAACAUCUUGUCAACAAAGGUCACGUGAUGCAGCUACCCGAGGUCUCCCACUGAAACCAACCACACCCUGUUGGACAGUGAGAGCGAAUCUGAGGGUCCAAAUCGCAGCUCAGAUGUUCCUGUUAUUGCUGAAGAUAUCUCAAACCUGAAGCUCUUAAAACAGACCAGCAUGCUUAAUAACCUUCUCAAAGACAGGGGCGGCUCCAGCUGAAGGAAUUUCCAUAGGAUCAUGUAAAAAAUGUGCCGCUUUGUGUAAAAAUUCAAAUGUUUUUUAAUUGGAGAUUAACGAUGUGGGUGCCAAUUUCUCUGUAAGCUCAUAAUGGCAAUCCUCAUAA